rnacentral:rRNA from 1 species
GCAAGUCGAACGGAAACGAUGAGAGCUUGCCCUCAGGCGGCGAGUGGCGGACGGGUGAGUAAUACAUAGGAAUCUGCCCAGUAGCGGGGGACAACUUGGGGAAACUCAAGCUAAUACCGCAUACGCCCUACGGGGGAAAGCAGGGGAUCUUCGGACCUUGCACUAUUGGAUGAGCCUAUGUCAGAUUAGCUUGUUGGUGGGGUAACGGCCUACCAAGGCGACGAUCUGUAGCUGGUCUGAGAGGACGAUC